UGGGGAAUAUUGCACAAUGGGCGCAAGCCUGAUGCAGCCAUGCCGCGUGUGUGAAGAAGGCCUUCGGGUUGUAAAGCACUUUCAGCGAGGAGGAAGGUGGUGAGCUUAAUACGCUCAUCAAUUGACGUUACUCGCAGAAGAAGCACCGGCUAACUCCGUGCCAGCAGCCGCGGUAAUACGGAGGGUGCAAGCGUUAAUCGGAAUUACUGGGCGUAAAGCGCACGCAGGCGGUUUGUUAAGUCAGAUGUGAAAUCCCCGGGCUCAACCUGGGAACUGCAUUUGAAACUGGCAAGCUAGAGUCUCGUAGAGGGGGGUAGAAUUCCAGGUGUAGCGGUGAAAUGCGUAGAGAUCUGGAGGAAUACCGGUGGCGAAGGCGGCCCCCCUGGACGAAGACUGACGCUCAGGUGCGAAAGCGUGGGGCAGCAAACAGGAUUAGAUACCCUGGUAGUCCAGCGCUGUAAACGAUGUCGAUUUGGAGGUUGUGCCCUUGAGGCGUGGCUUCCGGAGCUAACG
rnacentral:rRNA from 1 species